rnacentral:lncRNA from 1 species
AUAUUUGAAUUAAAGGAAAAAAUUAUAUUAUUAUUAACAUAGAUUCCAAAAAUUGUGUGAAGAAAAAUACUAUGGAUUAAGUACGGACAAGGAUCAUUAGUAGACAUAUAAAUAUUAAAAUAUUUUAGAAACAAAUAAUUUUUUUUUAUUCUAUCAAAGAACACCUAUAAAGAUUUUUUUAAAGACAAUAGUAGCUUGGUUUUGGAUAAGAUUUUU